rnacentral:sRNA from 1 species
AAUCACAUUUGAUCGUGGAAGCCCUCUUGAUCCAUUGGUUGAUUAAGGGUUUACUAAUACUUCUACACCAAAAAGUUUGGGGUUUGAGUCUUAAGUAUUACGAUUUAUUUUUAGAUUUUGGAGGCAAGAGUGCAGGAGACCUCCAACGAUGUACAAUUAUAGUCGUUUGCCAGGAUUCUACGCAGAUAAAAUCAUUAAAACCAACCGUCAAGAGCAUAGAGAAAGAAAAGGAAGUGUCGUAUGUUAUGAAUCUAAUAAGGGUCGGAAUAAAUUGUCCGUAAUACAAUCGUCUAUGUAACAGUUCUCAUAAUUUAUAACAAAUAAUAAAUUUAAGACGGCAAAUAAAAAAUCACAUUU